GUUCAUUAUGCUGUUAUCUGAUAAAAUUAAGCACAUUUGUCCCUACUGCUCCAUAUGGGACACUAAGUCAACAAAGACAAGAAAUUUGAACAAACCAGAACCUGAAAACAAUCCACAUAAGCUACUGACACAGAACCUCAGUUUUCAUUCAGCUCUUCUCUAUGAUCCACUCCAUUGCUGACUUCUCUUGUUAUGUCUCCUGUC